ACAUCAAGUCCCAUCUCUGGAAUGCCUGCGAGCUUUCGUUUAUAAUUGGGAGGUAAGUCAGAAGCUAGAGGCUGGGCCUCUUAUCAGUUUGGGUUUAAUUUUCCUCCUACAGCAAAUGAAGCUGCUGCAAUUCAUCUCUCAUUAGGAAGAAGCACAAAACUCCCCUAAAAUAACAGUUUUUAUUGGGAACAUGUAAUAAACCCCUCUCUGUUCCUCUCCUCGCCUUUGAUAAUGUUACCAGGGCUCACAGCUCCCUUCAAAGUGUUGCUCCAACUUAAAAAUAAGUCUAUUAAAAAUUUAAACCCGCUUUUCUAUACAAUAAAACUUGCUCCCUGCAAUUAUGCAGAGGGACUAGUUAUCUUGCCUUUUGUAGUUUUUAAUUAAAAGUUACAGCGGGAAGGGAAGAACAACUGCCACGUGCUAACAGCCCUCUGCUGGGGCUGAGCUGCCGGAGCCUUUCCUGGCCGGGCACAGGUUCGGGGGCAGCUCCGUGGCUGGGAGAGGACGUCAGGAUGUGGCAUUUGCACCAGGAUGCUUGGGUGAGCAGCUGGGGAUGAGGAAUGGAUGCUGAGGUUCUGGGGUGAAAACACCAGGGUUUGGAUGCGGGGUCCUGGGGUGCAAACACCAGGGUUUUUAUGGAGGGUCCUGGGGUGCAACCACCAAGGUCUGGAUGUGGGUUCCUGUGGUGCAAAUGCUGCCAGCAGCACCGUGACUUCUGGGUAGGGGCUGGGGGGGCCCUAUUGCCCCAAAUAUUCUUAAUUUCUAGAAAUCAGCUGGUAUUUGCCUUGAAAAACUGCCUCAGCACCACCCGGGCAGCUUGCAGCCGAGCCUGGAGCAGCCCCGGCAUCGCUCCACGCUCAUCCUCCAUCACCUUUUGUCCCUAGCAUCAUCCUGCUGUGCCCCAGGCACCUUUCCAAGGUCACGGCCAGCGAGGGGGAGCCGGGGAAGUGGCCAAGGUGGGAGCGGUGGCUUCCAGGGGAUGGUGCAGGACACGGGGCAGGCUACAGCCGGAGAGGUUGGGAUCAGCGGCUGCACCUCGCUGGGGUUUGCAACGGGAGGUCUGACCAGGGGGGGCUAAAAAAAGCCAUGAGAUGAGCAAAAUGAUCCGCUGAGUCACUGAUCACUCGCUCGCCCGCUGCUUUAGUCACCCCCUUCCCUGAACCGCUAUGGGUUUGGUGCUGAGGGGGCACAAACUGUGAGCGCGUUAAAUUGCUGCGGCCGAAAAAACAAAGUGCUGGGGCUGCACGCGCGGCUGCUGGCACCAGAUGGAUCACUGGAGGUGCUCAAUUAGUGGUGGCUCCCUAAUAAAGCCGCUGAUUAAUACCGGUGGAAGUGCUGC
rnacentral:lncRNA from 1 species